CCAAUACUUUCUGUCUCUCUUUUGUUCCUUAAUCCUCACACCCCCUUUCAGGACCGUUCGACUCGUCGGCAGGCUCCGACAGUCCCACAUCUAUAAUGGCUCCGCUAAAGAAGCAAUGAGGGAACGAAACUCUGAAGUUAUGGGGAAAAUGAAAUGAGAGGUGUAGUCAAGAUUUAAGCUUUCACUUGCUGGAUUUCAGAAAUGAAGAAGCUACUCCCAAGGAUAUCAGGCUAUAGAAAGCAACCCUGCAGGACAGAGUCGAGCUCCCCCAAGACUUUCAGAGAUGGUAAAGCUUUGCAGAAGUAGACAGCCUCAUCGUUCUCCCAUGGAGUAGUUGGUGGGCUUGAACCACCAAUCUGGCUCUUAACCACCCGAUACUUAGCCCACUGUGCACCCACAGUAUAUACAAAUACACAGGGAAAGCAAUUCCAUUUUCAUAAAUUAACAAAAUACAACAAUUACCUAAGGAGAAUAAACCAUAGCAAUCAUAAUUAAACAUGACAGAAUACCUGGGCUAUUAAACCCAUGGAUUUCCUUUCAUUUUCAUUUAAAAAAGGGCAAAAGCAAAAUAUAGCUCUAAUUCUUCAUCUGAUACUGAAAAGUCUGCUGCAAACAUGCCUACCACAACCAUCAGUGAAUCUUAACUCGGAAGACCCUCCUCUGAGGAAGAAGGGCAGUCAACUUUCUCCCCCCUCCGGGCACUCAUUAAAAGUGAAAACCUUAAAAAGAUUUAGGCUCUACUAUUUAAACUAACAGUGUAGCUAUUAAUGCUGAUUCUCCAGUCAUACAUAAGUACUGCUAAGUCUUAUCUGAAUGCUUUUCCACGACCACCGUGCAAUAAACUAAGCACGUUUCGGUGUGACGACCUUAGCAUCCCUUUAGUUACACUUACCGACAUCCUCCCAAGACACAGCGCGAAGCAGGAAAGCAGCUUUUCUCUCUGUGAUUCAAAUACAAGCUGUCUCUUUUCUGAUUUCAAAAGCAAUCGAUGCUUUUCUGGGGGUGGGAGCGGGAAGAAGGUCAAAUGAUGCUAAAUGAAAAAGCAGAAUGAAAAAGUAUGUAUGUUUCUACUUUGCAAAACUCGCUAUUUAUUAAAUGUCUACCAUGUGUUAUUCACAUACAGCUAGAGAUGAGCUACCCGGUAAACAAGGUAAUGUCUUGCUUAGGGCAGCAACACACCCAGGGUCACCAAUUGUCCAAAGACCAUAGAUGCUUAAGUAGACAGGGCACAAGGAAAUGGCGAACCCUAGGGGAAGGGAACUGAUGGGGCAUGAAAUGAAAUUGAUACCAUUGUAUACAUUUUGUACAUGAGAGCGAUGACAUUUUCAUUUUGAUUUUGGACUUAUAGGGUCUUGCCUUACAUUUAGUUCUGUCUUGUUGACCCAAUAAAACAGAAUUACAAUACUAUACUCAGUUCCUGACAUAGCUGGUACUAUAUGAAGUGAAUCAAAACGUGGCUUCAGAUUAAAUAUAUUCUGUUAUUUAUAUCAUACUCCUUAAAACCACUCUCAUCGCUAGGAGGUGUCAGCAGUCGCCCAAUGAACUGUGAGGACUCAGCAGCAAAGGAAGGAAAGGGAGUGAGGAGUGGUUGUGUUUUUUUCAAACAAUGAAGAGCAUUCAUGGAGAUCUGUGAAGGGUCCACAAACAAGCACUUUAUGAAAAAUAAAGAAUGAUCCUGCUUGA